GGGAGCGCGUGCCGGAAAUCCAUCAAAACGGGGGAACACCUCCAAGAAGUGUGCGUCACGCGCACCGCGCUCCGCUCGCGCUGUCUCUUUGGAGAGUCAGUGAAACGUUCCGGUGAUUGAUGACAGUGUGCGCUGGAACGUCUUCUCCUCCAGAACCCCAUCCAAUCCUCUCAUCGUUCGCUCUCGGGUGACUGUCGCAGCCUCUCUCCUCUGAGCUCGAAAUGAAACGACGUUUGUGUGUGUGUUUUUUUUUUUUUUAUCACAUCUUGAUGUAUGGAACAUCGCUCCUACCGUCUGUACAUCUGUUUCAGGUUCUACCGCUUCCAAAGCCAUUGGCAUCAGAGCCGGUGAGACGGAAGCCUUUGUUGAAAACAUCAGGAAUAAAGAGGGAAAGAGAAAAGAUCUGGAAAGCGAUGAGCUUCGGUGCAGUGUGGAGAAGGAAGGAGAAGGAAGAGGAGGAAGAGAAGGAAGAGAAGGAAGAGCGCCGCUGAUUUUAACGACUCAUUUUAAUGCACGCCGUGAAGAUUAGGAGUCAGUGACGCUAAAGCACCAUCUGUAAGCUGGAUGUAUGCAGAUAUAUACGCAGAGGUAACGCAGGUGGAUCUUUCAGUUAGAACAUGAGCAAUACUGAGAGACGAUCUCUGGCUGAGGAGAACCGAAGGAACCUUUGAUUUCAGUCGAGAGUUUAAAAAAGGAGCUCUGAAAUUCUCCUGAUUGAUUACGUCAUACAGCAGAGCAGCUGCUACUCCAUCCAUCUGAGGAGCCACCCAAAUCACCUGAGGACAGACAGACAGACAGGGAGGAAGGGAGGAAAACAGACAGACAGGGAGGGAGGAAAACAG